GGAAGAGUGGCCGAGCGGUUUAAGGCAGCAGUCUUGAAAACUGCCGAGUGUGAAAGCAUUCCGUGAGUUCGAAUCUCACCUCUUCCGCCA
rnacentral:tRNA from 1 species